AGAGUUUGAUCAUGGCUCAGGAUGAACGCUGGCGGCAUGCCUAAUACAUGCAAGUCGAACGAAGCGGCCUAAUGAGAGACUAGCUUGCUAGGAAGGAUUUAGAUCACCGCUUAGUGGCGAACGGGUGAGUAACACGUGGGUAACCUGCCCAUCAGAGGGGGAUAACACUUGGAAACAGGUGCUAAUACCGCAUAACACUAAAAACCGCAUGGUUUUUAGUUGAAAGGCGCUCUUGGUGUCGCUGAUGGAUGGACCCGCGGUGCAUUAGCUAGUCGGUGGGGUAACGGCCUACCGAGGCAAUGAUGCAUAGCCGACCUGAGAGGGUGAUCGGCCACAUUGGGACUGAGACACGGCCCAAACUCCUACGGGAGGCAGCAGUAGGGAAUCUUCGGCAAUGGACGAAAGUCUGACCGAGCAACGCCGCGUGAGUGAUGAAGGUUUUCGGAUCGUAAAACUCUGUUGUUAGAGAAGAACAAGAGAAGUAGUAACUGGCUUCUCCUUGACGGUAUCUAACCAGAAAGCCACGGCUAACUACGUGCCAGCAGCCGCGGUAAUACGUAGGUGGCAAGCGUUGUCCGGAUUUAUUGGGCGUAAAGCGAGCGCAGGCGGUCUCUUAAGUCUGAUGUGAAAGCCCACGGCUUAACCGUGGAGGGUCAUUGGAAACUGGGAGACUUGAGUGCAGAAGAGGAAAGUGGAACUCCAUGUGUAGCGGUGGAAUGCGUAGAUAUAUGGAAGAACACCAGUGGCGAAGGCGGCUUUCUGGUCUGUAACUGACGCUGAGGCUCGAAAGCGUGGGGAGCAAACAGGAUUAGAUACCCUGGUAGU
rnacentral:rRNA from 1 species